UCUUAUAUGAUUGGGACUUAGUGACAGAAUAUGCUACGUGAACUCUAAAACUAUUAAAGUAGACUUGGAUUAGAAUAGUAAAUAAUGGCAUCUUUACUAUUUUGCAUUGAGGACAUCGGAUUGGUUGCAUUUCUAUGCUGAUGCAUGUCAUACACAUCCAUGUACAUUCAUGAUAUCGUUGCUUCAUUACUCGUGCAAAUCAUGCUAAAUAGAAAGUAUAUGUCAUUGUAAGGUACCGGACUUCUAAAAUCAUGAGGUUACGGUGUCCAUUUGGUUGGAGAGCCAUUUGAAUGGUUCCGGUAAGGUUGCGGUGUAAUGUAAUAUACCGAAUUUAAAUAUAAAAAUAGAAAUAAAUAAAAAUAGUAUGAGAUACUAUUUUUAUUGGAUUUAGAGAAGUGAAAUAUAGGUUGGGAAUAACCUGUGCUGAAAUCGGAGCGAAAACAGAAGAUUUAGAAUUUUCUGUAAGAAACGGGGCAGAUAAAUAAGCAGAAACUGCACAGUGUCAGAAAAUUAUGAAAAUUGGCAGAGAUGUCAGAAAUAUUUUUAUGAGGCUAGAUUUAAGGUUUCAUAUUUUUCUGACACCCGUAGAGUGAGAAAUAAAAUCCGAAAGCUAUCUGAUAAAGAUUGCAGUUCGGUACAGUUUUCAGUGACCAAACGGGGUCGAAACUGAACCAGUGAUCGUCAGCUUGUUAAGUUAAGUAAAACCGAACAUGACUGUCAAGUUUGAGCUCAAACGGACAUUCAGGGAGCUCCGGCGAAAGAUAUCAGAUUUCGAGUUGCCGGGAAGUGAAUAGUGUAUAGUUGAGGGGCUGAAUUGUAAAAUGGGAUUAAAUCCCUUUUCUUCUUCUUCCUCCCAGCCGCACACCACACACGAUACAUACACUCACACACGCAUGGAAGGGAGAGAGAGAA
rnacentral:lncRNA from 1 species